rnacentral:misc_RNA from 1 species
GAUGAAGAACGUAGCGAAAUGCGAUACGUAAUGUGAAUUGCAGAUUUCAGUGAAUCAUCGAAUCUUUGAACGCACAUUGCGCCCGCUAGUAUUCUGGCGGGCAUGCCUGUUCGAGCGUCAUUUCAACCAUCAAGCCCUAGGCUUGCGUUGGAGCCCUGCGGCUGCCGCAGGCUCCCAAAUCCAGUGGCGGGCUCGUCGUCGUACCGAGUGCAGUAAACAUCCUCGCUCAGGGAACGUGACGGGUUCUUGCCGUGAAACCCCCCACAUAUCAAGGUUGACCGCGGAUCAGGUAGGAAUACCCGCUGAACUUAAGCAUAUCAAUAAGCGGAGGA